rnacentral:rRNA from 1 species
UACGUAGGUGGCAAGCGUUAUCCGGAAUUAUUGGGCGUAAAGCGCGCGCAGGUGGUUUCUUAAGUCUGAUGUGAAAGCCCCCGGCUCAACUGGGGAGAGUCAUUCGAUACUGUUCGACUCGAAGGCAGGAGAGGGAAGUGGAAUUCCGGGUGUAGUGGUGAAAUGCGUAGAUAUCCGGAGGAACACCAGUGGCGAAGGCGACUUUCUGGCCUGUUCUUGACGCUGAGGCGCGAAAGCUAGGGGAGCAAACGGG